rnacentral:rRNA from 1 species
CAGCCGCCGCGGUAAUACGAAGGGUGCAGGCGUUACUCGGAAUUACUGGGCGUAAAGCGUGCGUAGGUGGUUGUUUAAGUCUGCUGUGAAAGCCCUGGGCUCAACCUGGGAAUUGCAGUGGAUACUGGGCAACUAGAGUAAGGUAGAGGAUAGUGGAAUUUCCGGUGUAGCAGUGAAAUGCGUAGAGAUCGGAAGGAACAUCUGUGGCGAAGGCGACUAUCUGGGCCAUUACUGACACUGAGGCACGAAAGCGUGGGGAGCAAACAGGAUUAGAUACCCGUGUAGUCCCUGUCUCUUAUAC